ACCCGGGUUGAUAACUAGGUGAACGGUCUCAAUCACCCACGGCCUUUGCCCUUUAAGUAUCCGGGAGAUCAACGUCGAGGAACUUACACGGCUUCGGACUGCUCAAUGAUGUUUUGCUGUUUAUUUUCUUGCAACAUAC
rfam:Aureobasidium namibiae CBS 147.97 unplaced genomic scaffold scaffold_30, whole genome shotgun sequence.